rfam:Ipomoea nil DNA, scaffold: scaffold2283, cultivar: Tokyo-kokei standard.
GGGGGUGUAGCUCAUAUGGUAGAGUGCUCGCAUCGCAUGCGAGAGGUAAGGGUUUUAAUUCCUCGCACCUCCA